GACGAACGCUGGCGGCGUGCUUAACACAUGCAAGUCGAGCGGUAAGGCCCUUUCGGGGGUACACGAGCGGCGAACGGGUGAGUAACACGUGGGUGACCUGCCCUUAGCUCUGGGAUAAGCCUGGGAAACUGGGUCUAAUACCGGAUAUGACUCCAUGACGCAUGUUGUGGGGUGGAAAGCCUUGUGCGGCUAGGGAUGGGCCCGCGGCCUAUCAGCUUGUUGGUGGGGUGAUGGCCUACCAAGGCGACGACGGGUAGCCGGCCUGAGAGGGCGACCGGCCACACUGGGACUGAGACACGGCCCAGACUCCUACGGGAGGCAGCAGUGGGGAAUCCUGCGCAAUGGGCGAAAGCCUGACGCAGCGACGCCGCGUGAGGGAUGACGGCCUGGU
rnacentral:rRNA from 1 species